rnacentral:lncRNA from 1 species
UCACUCUGGCUUUGUGAGGAGCCGGUGCCGUCCACAUUUGGGCACUAGCUACAAUGUGUCUCCCAAAAUGAUCACCUUCCGCCUUUGCGCACUCCUCAUAGGCCGCUUUAGUCGAGAAGUUCCCCCCCGCUGCGUUCUUCCAGCUCCAGCCGUCCAUAAGUUCUAGGCAAGGAGAAAGCGUCCCAAUGACUGACAUCAAAUUUUCCUCCAUCUCCUUCUCCCUCUCCCUCAGCUCCCUUCGCCACUUGAGAUCCCACACCCAUCCUUCCUCCGUCCAUUCCCCAGCCUCCUGCACAUUACCAUCUUUAAAGAGACUAAGAUUAAAAAGUCUAGGGAAGAGGAUCUUG